UGCUUGACGACUAUAGAGCGUUGGAACCACCUGAUCCCAUCCCGAACUCAGCAGUGAAACGACGCAUCGCCGAUGGUAGUGUGGAGCUUCUCCAUGUGAGAGUAGGUCAUCGUCAAGCUC
rnacentral:rRNA from 1 species